AACGUAGGAGGCGAGCGUUAUCCGGAGUUACUGGGCGUAAAGCGUAUGUAGGUGGCAAGACACGUCUGAUGUGAAAGCUCCCGGCUAAACUGGGAGAGUGCGUCGGAUACGGUCUGGCUAGAGGGUGGUAGAGGAGCGUAGAAUUCCGGGUGUAGUGGUGAAAUGCGUAGAGAUCCGGAGGAAUACCAGUGGCGCAAGCGGCGCUCUGGGCCAUACCUGACACUGAGAUACGAAGGCAUGGGUAGCGAACGGG
rnacentral:rRNA from 1 species